GAUGAAGAACGCAGCGAAAUGCGAUACGUAAUGUGAAUUGCAGAUCUCUCAGUGAACCAUCGAAUCUUUGAACGCACAUUGCGCCCGCCAGCAUUCUGGCGGGCAUGCCUGUCCGAGCGUCAUUUCAACCCUCAGGGUCCCUCCGCCUCGCGCGGUCGGAGCCUGGUGUUGGGGAUCGGCCCGCCCCGCGCGGCGCCGUCCCCCAAAUACAGUGGCGGUCCCGCCGCAGCCUCCCCUGCGCAGUAGUUAUCAACUCGCACUGGAGCGCGGCGCGGCCACGCCGUAAAACCCCCGACUUUUAGAAAGUUGACCUCGGAUCAGGUAGGAAUACCCGCUGAACUUAAGCAUAUCAAUAAGCGGAGGA
rnacentral:misc_RNA from 1 species